GAGUUUGAUCCUGGCUCAGGAUGAACGCUGGCGGCGUGCCUAAUACAUGCAAGUCGAGCGAACAGAUAAGGAGCUUGCUCCUUUGACGUUAGCGGCGGACGGGUGGGUAACACGUGGGUAACCUACCUAUAAGACUGGAAUAACUCCGGGAAACCGGGGCUAAUGCCGGAUAAUAUUUAGAACCGCAUGGUUCUAAAGUGAAAGAUGGUUUUGCUAUCACUUAUAGACGGACCCGCGCCGUAUUAGCUAGUUGGUGGGGUAAUGGCUUACCAAGGCAACGAUACGUAGCCGACCUGAGAGGGUGAUCGGCCACACUGGAACUGAGACACGGUCCAGACUCCUACGGGAGGCAGCAGUAGGGAAUCUUCCGCAAUGGGCGAAAGCCUGACGGAGCAACGCCGCGUGAGUGAUGAAGGUCUUCGGAUCGUAAAACUCUGUUAUUAGGGAAGAACAAAUGUGUAAGUAACUGUGCACGUCUUGACGGUACCUAAUCAGAAAGCCACGGC
rnacentral:rRNA from 1 species